GACGUAGGGCGCGAGCGUUGUCCGGAUUUAUUGGGCGUAAGGAGCUCGUAGGCGGCUCGUUGCGUCGGCUGUGAAAACCCGCAGCUCAACUGUGGGCUUGCAGCCGAUACGGGCGGGCUGGAGUUCGGUAGGGGAGACUGGAAUUCCUGGUGUAGCGGUGAAAUGCGCAGAUAUCAGGAGGAACACCGGUGGCGAAGGCGGGUCUCUGGACAGUUCCUGACGCUGAGGCACGAAGGUCAGGGGAGCAAACGGG
rnacentral:rRNA from 1 species